CAACAUAAAGAAACGACAUUUUCCCGCGUUAAUUCACAAAUCGAUUACUCGCAACAACAUCUUGGCAUUGGCGUCCUAAUCAUACUUUUUCUUUUACUUCAUAGACGAACGAGAAGUUGAAAAAUAAAAAAGGAAACAUGUAUGGCAUUAUAUUGUAGAUUAAUUUAAAUUAUAUCAAUACCAUGAAUAUGCAAUUCGGUAGAUCCGAAAUGAUGAAUCAAGCCUUAGAGUUAAUCACUACUAUGCUCCUGUUACUACACAUAUGUUAUAUUACACUCGUAAAUACAAUUCAUAUGAGAAUAAAAAGAAAGAUAUUCAGUCCACUUCUUUACUGAAAAAGUAAAAAUUUGCACAUUCAUGAUUUUGACAGAAAGAAAAUGAUGUGAUGGUGAGUAGUGAGUAUAUCUCGGUUGUAAGUGAAUCUAUGAUGAUGUUCGUUGAUUUACCACGUUUGGUUAGUCGAGAAUUAUCAUAUCAUGUAACCUAUUUCAAACAUCGAGUAGGAUGAGAAAUUAGAUCGUAGGAUCGUUAUCCAAUAAACAGAUGAUGUUGAAUUCUGAUUUCUGACUGUGUAGAACAAUUUUAUAAGAGAAUAAGAAUAAAUAGAUGAAAAAAAUAUUUUCCUUUAUUAAACUCUAUCCAAAAUAAUGUAUUUUUUAUAUCAUGUUAAAAGACCCUAUAAAUAAUAAAAUACUCCUGAUCUACCAAUAUAAAUACCAUAAUUAAAUUUGAAAGUAUUAACAAAUAUAAGUAAAUACAUUUCACAAUCCUAAAUACUAAUACAAUAACAAUAACACACAAGAUGCUAAAUUCAUAAAGAGAAUAAAUAUUGAAAUACUAUAAUAUAUGAUAUAAAUUUUUCGGUAUGGUGAGAUACUGCAAAAAAGCGCUAACGAUAAUCAUACUAAGUAGAUAAAGUAUACAUGUAUAUAGCGCGUUCACGCACUAUCCUUCUCGUCUCUGAAUGCCUCUCUAUUACUCCCACUCCUUUUAGCACACCGUAUCAUCACUCAGUAGACGACACACGGAUAAUACGUAUUAACGAUUUAUCCGAUGAGAACGUGCGAUAGUAUACCACACGUAUAUUACGCAGGCCAGAUCGAUAUUGCAUUGCAACGUGUUAGUUGACACAAACUACCAAAAAAAAAGUAAGAAAAAAGAAAGAAGAGAGAAAAAGCUUAAUUCCCAUAAAUUUACACAUAGCGAGGGUUAUCGAUAAUAAUCGAUACGUCGCCGGUAUUUCGCCAUCUUCACCAUGAGAUCUACCACUCGAGCGAAAAAUGGGAAAUUAUAAAUAAAUAAAUAAUAUAUAAAUAAAUAAGUAAAAAAAGCAGAUAAAUAUUCCUUCGUGUUUUGUUCAUAUUUAGUUUUACUGCAUCUGUUGUAUAAAACUAUUACAUUAUGUAUAAAGCGAAUAUUGCAAAUAUAAAUGAAAAUAAAGUUAAAUGCAAACAGA